ACGGAAGGCAGCAGUGAGGAAUAUUGGUCAAUGGACGGAAGUCUGAACCAGCCAAGUCGCGUGAAGGAUGAAGGUAUUAUGUAUUGUAAACUUCUUUAGCAGUGGAGUAAUAAGGGGAUCGCGAUCCCUGAUGCAAGUACACUGAGAAUAAGGAUCGGCUAACUCCGUGCCAGCAGCCGCGGUAAUACGGAGGAUCCGAGCGUUAUCCGGAUUUAUUGGGUUUAAAGGGAGCGUAGGCGGAAGGUCAAGUCAGCUGUGAAAUGUAGUCGCUCAACGUCUGCACUGCAGUUGAAACUGGCCUCCUUGAGUGCGUAAGAGGCAGGCGGAAUUCGUCGUGUAGCGGUGAAAUGCUUAGAUAUGACGAAGAACUCCUAUUGCGAAGGCAGCUUGCUGGGCCGCAACUGACGCUGAAGCUCGAAGGUGCGGGUAUCGAACAGGAUUAGAUACCCUGGUA
rnacentral:rRNA from 1 species